rnacentral:sRNA from 1 species
CUGUUUCUUAACAGCAUAUCGCCAUAUCUUAACGAUAUCACCUGAAUAGAAAGGUAAGUUCUCUUCACUGACGAUAAUGAUUAUGUUUUAGAAACUUAGAGGAAAUUCGAUCUCAAUAUUAUCUUUAAUUAGCUCUGUGUGUAAAUUAUGUGUGUUUCUUUUUUCCCUUUCAGUAUAUAAGGUUUUCAAAAAGAUUCGUAGUAUAGUUCACAUUUGUAGACAUAUCUCUCUUAAAAUAACUAGGCCUAUAGCUAUUAAUAGACAUGUGUUUUUAAAGUACUAAAUAUAUAUCUUUAGUGACUGUUUACAUGUUUCGUGAAAUUAAGUUAAAAGAUUACAAUUUUUUAUCAUUUAGACAAAGUGAACAAUAGUAUUUGUGUAUGCCAAGACUAUUAAGAAUAUAUCAAUGAAUUCAUACGGUUCUUUUACACGAAAAUCUUGUAUAUCACUGUCUCCGUAAGUUUAUCGUUCAAUACUCAGAAAUUACAAAACAAAACUUUAUGUUCCUACCUUUACCGAAUAUUAAUAAAUG